CACGUAGGGGGCGAGCGUUGUCCGGAUUUAUUGGGCGUAAAGGGCGCGUAGGCGGCCUGAUCAAGUCGGAUGUGAAAUCCCUCGGCUCAACCGAGGAACUGCACCCGAUACUGGUUGGCUAGAGUCCGGGAGGGGGUAGCGGAAUUCCCAGUGUAGCGGUGAAAUGCGUAGAUAUUGGGAAGAACACCGGUGGCGAAGGCGGCUACCUGGACCGGUACUGACGCUGAGGCGCGAAAGCCAGGGGAGCGAAUGGG
rnacentral:rRNA from 1 species